GUGCAGCAGGCGCGAAACCUUUACAAUGCCUUCACGGGCGAUAAGGGGAUCCUGAGUGCUCUAGCAUUGCUAGAGCUUUUCCAGAGUGUAAAAAGCUCUGGGAAUAAGUGGUGGGUAAGACGGGUGCCAGCCGCCGCGGUAAUACCCGCGCCACAAGUGGUGACCACGUUUAUUGGGUCUAAAGCGUCCGUAGCCGGCUGGGUAAGUUCCUUGGGAAAUUUGGCUGCUUAACAGUCAAGCUUUCAGGGAAUACUGCCCGGCUUGGGACCGGGAGAGGUCAGAGGUACUCCAGGGGUAGGGUGAAAUCCAUUAAUCCUUGGGGGACCACCGGUAGCGAAGGCGUCUGACCAGACCGGGUCCGACGGUGAGGGACGAAGGCUAGGGGC
rnacentral:rRNA from 1 species